AACCACUUGGGGCGCUGGUUUUCACUUUCCCUCCCUAUUGGGGAAGUAUCAACCUAGACAACAUGUGGUUGUACAGUUGAUUUGUUGGAAAUUGUAGGGGGUUGAAGGAGCCCAAGAAGACCUGAAAAGGAACGGAAGCUACACUUGCAACAGUUUAAACUGACAAGAUUGCAUGAGACAGCCAAAGCCUUGUUCUAUAAGAGGGCCCUAACAAAACGAAAGAUUCCCCGAUGCUGGGAUCCACCAUCUUGGAUGACCAUAGUGGAGAAGUAGACCAUAGCUCCCUCAUCUGAUUGACAUCCUCUCUUGACAACAUAGCCAUACCAGAAUGAUAGAGAAACCAUACUAGUGGAAGUAGACCAUAGUAGGCAUCUUGACACACACACCACCCUGUCUGCAGUUGAAAGUCGUUGUAUUUUUUACAGUUCUUGAAGUGCAGUCUGUUGUUUGUGUACA